CAAGAAGUACACUCUUGCCCAUCCAUCUUCCAUGGGAAUCAGAAUAUUGGCUUCAAUCACUGACUCAUCUUUAUAUAAUCUUCACCAGGAAUUGCUAUUAGCAUCUGUCUUCCCAGCCUUGGUAUGCCUGCUUGAGUUCUGCUGAGAUUUGUUCUGCUCUUCUCCAGUGAGUAGGGCCUUUAUUUCAGAAGGGAUUUUUCCUUGGUCCAUUGCCAUGCACCACUGCUUGUACAUUUCCAGUUCCUCUCUGAGGGCACAUAUAGCUCUUUCUCGACUGGAUACCAACUCUUCCAAAUACUGAUAUCUCAGCUUUUUUCGGGCUCGGCAUUCUCUUGCACUCUGCCG
rnacentral:lncRNA from 1 species